GAGAACUGACAAUCUGAUAGGUAGAAUGACGGGGUAACGCCCUGAAAUGCCUACACUGAUACUCCGAUUGGCAAUGAAUAUUAGACUAUUUCAUUGUCAAAAGCUCGGUGAAGUCGGCAGAGAGUAGCCGUAAGACUGAUAUUAACAUCAGACACGAAAGCUGUCCAGAGGUGGACGGUGCUGCCUAUAUGUCGGGUGUCGAAUAC
rfam:Mogibacterium sp. CM50 ctg120007703398, whole genome shotgun sequence.